UUAAAAUUUAAAUCAAAAUUAAAUAUAAGUUGAGCUUAAAAGUCUUGUGACAAAAAAAUUUUAGGAAAAAUUACAGUUAAGGUAUCAAACCUUUUGUUUAUCAAUAGACUUGAUCCAAAACCUUCGUCAUGCCAUCAAAAGUGCCAAAACUUUAAAAAACUCGCAUCUGAAGUCCAAAAUGACAGUUACCGUCUAUUUGAACACAAUCAAUUGACCCCAGAAAUGAAAAAUCUAACAAUUUUCCCCAAAUAAGACAAAGAUAAUUGGUAUUACCCAUUUUUCCUUCAAAAGAAAAAGAAAAAGAAAAACACUCUUCUCCACUCACACCCUAUCUACCCCAAAACUAAAAACCCACCAAAAUCAUCUUCUCCACUUCAGUUCAGAAGCCGAAAUCAUGUCUCAUUGAAAAGAGGAACAAGAAAACUCUGCGAUCGAGCAAGUAUUCCUCACAGUACUCGUCAUCGAUGACCGAACCCUACUCAUUGACUUGUUGUCACCUUUCAGAUGUGGACCCUAGGUGGCCGUGGCUUGUACUCUUCUCUCGUUCCUCAACUAGUUCUUCUGGUAUUGUUACGAGUCGCUCUAGAUCAUCGCAAUCUCUACCUAGGUUUGCAGUGAUACCCCUAGGUUACAUCAUGGCGGCGAUGAUUAUGCGAAGAGUGUUCUUCAAGGGGGCGGAAUUGGGAAUUUAGUUUGAAUCCAUGCUCUUUCAAUAUAAAGGAGCACGUGUUGUCCUUAUUGAUCACCAUUUUUGCG
rnacentral:lncRNA from 1 species